UCAAGAAAGGGGAAGAACGGACGGCGUCUUAUUCUAGAUAGUUCGCUUCUCUCUGAAACCCUAAAAUGCUUUCGUCCUAUAAAUUCAGAAAGCGUGCGCGGCUUCUUCAAGCAGCCGUCUUCAUCGCCUUUGCGGUCAUGAAGAGGUCACGGUGAUGACUCCAUAAAUUUCAAGCUCAACAGACCGGAAUGCAGGGAUCUCUCUAUUAUGGGAUGAUACUUUGCGUGUCGACCACCCCGCUGACCUGAGUGAUCUCUUCCUUGUUAUUUUUCUUUUCUAUUGUUCCCUGAUGUUUUUUUGCCCGUUCGGUUUCAAAUUAUUCAAAGUUUUUCUGUUUUCUUACUCUGGGGAAAAGAGAAUUCACGAUGAGGAUACACAAGCUCCCUCUUCUGAUAUUUCAAGUUGAGGAAGAUUGCUGGCAGAAUCGAACCUUCUACUCCAUAGCCACUACUGAGUGUUCUCUUUCCCCUCUAUAUCAUCGAUCCCUCCCCGCGCUUCACGCUUAAAUCUCGUAAACCGUAAAUUUUGCGGACGUUCUGUUUAUGAUUUUCUUACUCAAUCAUUGUAUUCGAUUAGAUUCGAUGGGUGAGGUCAGUGAUGAAUUAAAAUUGCCUACAUUGGCUGAUGAUCUUGUUUUAGGUGAGAUGAUGUCUUCAAUAGUCUGAGACCUCUUAAAUUUUUGUUCAGUUUUUAAAAAUAAGCUGGCGGACUCAUUCACUAUCUGGUUGAUCUGACCUCUGAUAAUUUGUUAAUAAAUGGUUGUUUGUACUCAGAAAUGCAUUGACUUUGGUUAUGCAGGUACCUGGAACCGUCUUUUGUUAACAAUAAGAACUGUUGGAUUCGAGAUGA